UACGGGGGGGGUAAGCGUUGUUCGGAAUUACUGGGCGUAAAGGGCUCGUAGGCGGCCAACUAAGUCAUACGUGAAAUCCCUCAGCUUAACUGGGGAACUGCGUGUGAUACUGGAUGGCUUGGAUUUGGGAGAGGGAUGCGGAAUUCCAGGUGUAGCGGUGAAAUGCGUAGAUAUCUGGAGGAACACCGGUGGCGAAGGCGGCAUCCUGGACCAACACUGACGCUGAGGAGCGAAAGCCAGGGGAGUAAACGGG
rnacentral:rRNA from 1 species